rnacentral:lncRNA from 1 species
UGCACACCCCUCUCCAGGGAAUGCUGCCAGUCAAGCUCUGUCCUCCUUUUCCAGCUCCUUACUCCAGUCUUGUCGGAAGAGCUUUGGGUGUACCCAUAUUUGGUUAUAUUUGAGGAAGGGGCAUGCUGGGCCAAAGGCUUAAAAGGAGAAAAUAUGUGUAUAUAAAGUAGUGAGAUAAGUUUGUUUCCCACAUACUGCCUGGGAAAGCAACAGGCAGAGAUCACGUAACACCACAUCCAAAACCAAACCCUCUCCCUUCAUUUGGGGGAACAACCCUCUGCUUUGAUUAAAUCUCAGGGUAAAUUAUCAUACUGUGGAAGUCUUAGUGGCUACAGGGCAUUGCUGCCGCCAGAUGGCUAAUCGUUAGAAGUCACAGAUGUCUUGACCUUUUUUUUUUUUUUUUUUUUAAAGCGGGUGUCCUUCAUCAAGAUAACAUAAAUUUACUGACAAAAGGAAAUUCACAGACAGCAUGCUGGGGAAACAGGAGGAAGGAAAAGAAGCGCCAAGGAACUGGAGGUGUGGAGUCCAAUCCUGCUGUGCUCCUCUACUGUAACCUUGGCAGAGGCACCUAACUGUUCUGAGUAGUUUCCUCAACUGAGAAAGAGGAAGAGCUGCCUCACUGUGGUUGCAAAGAACAACAGUGUGUGCACGUAGAGCAGGUAUCCUCUGAGGACUCUGGCUUGCCCAUUGUUGUCGGCUUCUGUUCAGGACUUUUUGCCUCUCUUUGACCUCACAAAUGUAAAGGCGAUGAGGCAUGGGAAAGGGUGACUUUCAAAGGGCCCACUCACAGAUUCAGUGAGAAGCAACAUAUUAAAAGUUAUGCUUGGAUAGGACAAGACUAAUAAGCCUAGCUCUUUAAUGCAAACCAGAGCAUUAUUGCUCAACUGGGUUCAAGUGUAGACAGCUUCGGCUUGAGGGGAACUGUUGGUUUCCACUUAUCUGCUGAGUCUCUCAAAUCACCACACUGGCCAGUGCUCUUUCCACGCCACUCAAAACCUUUAGGGCAGGAGCCAAGUUGAUUUUUGCUAUUUUCAUUUGAAAUAGUUUUGUUCGGUCCAUCCCUUGCACUU